GAUGAACGCUGGCGGCCUGCCUAAUACAUGCAAGUCGAACGCAUUGAGAGAAGUGCUUGCACUUUUCAAUUUGAGUGGCGAACGGGUGAGUAACACGUGGGCAACCUACCUGAUAGCGGGGGAUAACGAGUGGAAACAUUCGCUAAUACCGCAUAACAAUAGAGAAGGCAUCUUCUUUAUUUAUAAGGCGCUUUCAAGCGUCACUAUCAGAUGGGCCCGUGGGGAAUUAGUUAGUUGGUGGGGUGAAGGCCUACCAAGACGAUGAUGCAUAGCCGAGUUGAGAGACUGAUCGGGCACAUUGGGACUGAGACACGGCGCAAACUGCUACGGGAGGCUGCAGUAGGGAAUCUUCCACAAUGGACGAAAGUCUGAUGGAGCAACGCCGCGUGUGUGAUGAAGGCUUUCGGGUCGUAAAGCACUGUUGUAUGGGAAGAAAUGCUAGGCUAGGAAAUGAGCUUAGUUUGACGGUACCAUACCAGAAAGGGACGGCUAAAUACGUGCCAGCCGCCGCGGUAA
rnacentral:rRNA from 1 species